rnacentral:rRNA from 1 species
CACGUAGGGGCGCAAGCGUUUGUCCGGAAUUAUUGGGCGUAAAGAGCUCGUAGGCGGUCUGUUGCGUCCGCUGUGAAAACUCGGGGCUUAACCCCGAGCCUGCAGUGGAUACGGGCAGACUAGAGGUAGGUAGGGGAGAAUGGAAUUCCCGGUGUAGCGGUGAAAUGCGCAGAUAUCGGGAAGAACACCCGUGGCGAAGGCGGUUCUCUGGGACGGUACUGACGCUGAGACGCGAAAGCGUGGGGAGCGAACAGG